rnacentral:rRNA from 1 species
CCUACGGGUGGCAGCAGUGGGGAAUAUUGCACAAUGGGGGGAACCCUGAUGCAGCAAUGCCGCGUGGGUGAAGAAGCACUCCGGUGCGUAAAGCCCUGUCAGCAGGGAAGAAAAUGACAGUACCUGACCAAGAAGCCCCGGCUAACUACGUGCCAGCAGCCGCGGUAAUACGUAGGGGGCAAGCGUUAUCCGGAUUUACUGGGUGUAAAGGGAGCGCAGGCGGUAUGGCAAGUCAGAUGUGAAAACCCAGGGCCCAACCCUGGGACUGUAAUUGAAACUGCCAUACUGGAGUGCCGGAGAGGUAAGUGGAAUUCCUAGUGUAGCGGUGAAAUGCGUAGAUAUCACGCAGAACUCCGAUUGCGAAGGCAGCAUACCGGCGCGCAACUGACGCUCAUGCACGAAAGCGUGGGUAUCGAACAGGAUUAGAUACCCUGGUAGUC